UACGUAGGGUGCAAGCGUUGUCCGGAAUUAUUGGGCGUAAAGAGCUCGUAGGCGGUCUGUCGCGUCUGCUGUGAAAACCUAGGGCUUAACUCUGGGCGUGCAGUGGGUACGGGCAGGCUAGAGUGCGGUAGGGGGAGACUGGAAUUCCUGGUGUAGCGGUGAAAUGCGCAGAUAUCAGGAGGAACACCGGUGGCGAAGGCGGAACUCUGGGCCGGAACGACGCUGAGGAGCGAAAGCGUGGGGAGCGAACAGG
rnacentral:rRNA from 1 species